CUCAAUUUGGUGGAGACUCGGCUUUCGUUCGGUUCGGGUGGAAGUGGGGGGUCUGCAUUGGGCUUCUGGGAUCUGGGGGGCAGAGAGCAGCCCAUGAUAUUCAAGGUCUGGGUUAGCUUUGACCCGUUCACUAGGGAGAUGGGGGCCGCGUCCAUCUCUGGAAAUCAGUGAAUGGAUUUGCAAGCUCGUGGGGUGUAACAGCAAAGGACAUGGAGAAGGGAAUGGGAGAAGAGAGCUCUUGUGGGGAGUGCAGAAAAUGGGGAGGGGGAACCCCAUUCUCGUUGUGUGCCUGUGCUUGGGUUGGCGUGAGCAGCUUCCCACACCGGGCUCUUGUGAAAUACGCUGGUGCGACAGGUGUGAUGUCACCAGCUGGCGGUUGUGGCCGCCAACAGAAGACGUAGGCAGUUAGAUCGUGGAGCAAUGCUGCGCGGUUAGUUGCGGUGCAGUUCUUUCCCAGAGCUAGCAGCGCAGUUUCAUCCACGGCCCGCCUUGAGAAUAACGAGCUUGGGGUUCAGGGCGGCGGCAUUGCGGGAUAGAUCCAUGCGAGCCAAAACAUUGUUCUUAGCAUGUUCCAGCACCGUCUUGGGGCUGGGGCUCCAGGGGUUGAGAGAAGAGACGCCCUGGCUUGGCUUGUCCCAGAACAGACCUUCCCCUUGAGAAGUGCCUCUACACCCAGGUGGAUGCUUUGUUCUGUCUCUCUGGCCUCCAGCCCCAACCGACUCUGCUCACAAGCUGCCGGGACCCCAGACCUCACCUGGAAGUGGCAGAACCCACCUGGGCGCAAAGCUUCGACCAGGACGCGGUGGAGGAUCCAGCCGGCAGCUCCCGACAGACCGAGCGCCCGGGGCUGCGUCAGCAUCCAGAGGUGCCACGGCCCCGCCUGGGGAAGGCUCGGGUUGCAGAAACUGGGAUCGGCCCUCAGCCCCGGCCCCGCCCUCGGGAGAGGAAAAUGAAAAGCCCCCUGGUGCUGACGGUGCUGCUGUCCUUAGCGGCGGCCAAGCUGUGUCACACCUACUGCGAAGGGACCCAGGAGCAACAGACGAGCAGAGGGAUCCAGACAAAGGUAGAAAGGGAGGAAGCGGGGCUGGCUGGGGUGUGAAGACAUCUGAGUCCAUGUGGCUGCCCCCAGGGGCAAAGGAAUGUGAGAGGUUUCGCUGACUCACCUCCCACCUUGACUCUGUGGGUCGGUGGCCUAAAGGGGGGUAAAAUUUGGUAUUGUGCCUGGGUUUGGGGCUUUCCUGGACAACUGUGUGUGUUUUUUUACAUUAGAAAUUCAGACGGUCUCCCCCCAGGAAACUCUGCUGGGGGAUUAGCGAUCUAGCUGGGUGGGGAGCAUUAGUUAAUCAGCUCUCAUUUCCUCUGCCCUGCGAGGGGAAGGGAGUUUGGGUUUCUUUUCAUUCGAGGUCUUUGAAGUUCUUGUGGUGGGAUUUGUUUGGUGCCAUUUGCUCAGCCCUAUUUAACUCCAACGCCUACGGCGUGUUUUGGAGAAAGACGGUCACUCUGCAAAUUGAGGACAAAUCCAAACCGUUUCCAUUCCUGUCUGGGAAACACACCCAUGCCGUUUCACGGAGGGGCUAUGGGAUGCGAGUUCUGCCAGCGCGGGCUGGAGUCAUGCUGGGGAGCUGGCCAUGACGGACCAUAUUCCCAGAGUCCCCCGGGGCUCAGGCGUUCCCACCAGGAGAGGCUGCAGCCAGCAACCCCCACAAAGCUUUUCGUCCAGCUCAGCCCAUCCAAGGGUCCCGCCUCAAACUGCCAGCAAGGUCCAGACCCUAAGAGACUUAAACACCUUUCUUCCAUUGGCUUCGAAGGGGACUUAGGCACCUAACUCUCUUAGGCCACAGCCCCACACACAAGUAGCACCUCAGGGUUGAGCGGGGUGAGGUGGAUCAUGAGCUUUGUCUCUGUCCGCAGCGAUGGGGAGCCAAUGGCAUGUAGGGCACCAGCUGUCCCAAU
rnacentral:lncRNA from 1 species